UUUCUGUAGGUGAACCUGCGGAAGGAUCAUUAAAAAAUUGGACUCCAUUGGUGAGUUCAUUAAUAAUCCCUACCCUUUGUGAAUUGUUUGUUUGAAUAAUUUUUUUUCCAAAAAAAAUUAUUGAAUGUCUUUCCUUGUUCUGGUGGAGCUUGUAAAGUGAAACCAGGCAGGGGAAUGGCAAACAAUAAUUAUUUUUGAAAAAGACCUUUUUUUAAAAUUAAACUUUUUGUAUUCAUUUGUCUAAAAUUAAUUUUUAUAAUAUAAAAGCAACUUUUGACAAUGGAUCUCUUGGUUCUCGCAACGAUGAAGAACGCAGCAAAAUGCGAUAAGUAGUGUGAAUUGCAGAAUACGUGAAUCAUCGAAUCUUCGAACGCAUAUUGCACUUUUUUAGUUUACUAAAAAAGUAUGUCUGUUUGAGUAUCAGUAAAAUAUUCUCAUAAAAAACAUUGUUUUUAUUAUGGUUAUGAAUGUUUUACAACGAUAACAAGUUGUUUCACUUUAAAUUCUUUGUUAUCAAAAAAUCAUUAAAAGCUAAUUUUAAAGAUUUUUAAAAUUGGAUAAAAUUUUCCCGUAAAAAGGAAUAACCUAAACAAUUUUAAAAAAUUAAAAUUGGUUUGAUUUUUUUUGAAACCCAAAGGAAAAAAAAACGAAAUUAACUUGAUCUCAAAUCAGAUAAGAGUACCCGCUGAACUUAAGCGUAUCAAUAAGCGGAGGAAAAGAAACUAACUAGGAUUCCCUCAGUAACGGCGAGUGAAGCGGGAAGAGCUCAAAUUUGAAAUCUUCAAGGUUUUACCUUGACGAAUUGUAGUUUAAAGAAGUGUUUUCUGUUGGAGUUUUGGUAAAAGUUCUUUGGAAAAGGACAUCAUAGAGGGUGAGAAUCCCGUAUUUGACCAUUAUCUCCAGCUUUGUGAUACACUUUCAAAGAGUCGGAUUGUUUGGGAAUGCAGUCCAAAAUGGGUGGUAAAUUUCAUCUAAAGCUAAAUACUGGCGAGAGACCGAUAGCGAACAAGUACCGUGAGGGAAAGAUGAAAAGAACUUUGAAAAGAGAGUUAAACAGUACGUGAAAUUGUCAAAAGGGAAGCGUUUGACACCAGUGUUGUUUUCUCGAAAAUCAAUUAAAAAAGGCCGGAUUUUGUGUUGUAUUGACUUUAUCAGCUUUCUGCACUCUUUCUUGUCUUUUUUAAUGCACUUUUCGUUUAACAAGUCAACAUCAAUUUCUUUUGUUGUAAAAGGGUCAUUGGAAGGUGGCUUUCUUUUCGGAGAAAGUGUUUAUAGCCUUUGGCCUCUGCAAUCGGAGAGAUUGAGGUCUGCAGCGUAGAUCCUUCGGGUUAGAUACAUUUGUGCUAGUUAUAGCCUUUCAUAGACAACUUGUUGACUAUGAUCAGUCAUGUAGCUUACUCGCUUAUGCUAUUU
rnacentral:misc_RNA from 1 species